GACGAACGCUGGCGGCGUGCUUAACACAUGCAAGUCGAGCGGUAAGGCCUUUCGCGGUACACGAGCGGCGAACGGGUGAGUAACACGUGGGUGAUCUGCCCUGCACUUCGGGAUAAGCCUGUGAAACUGGGUCUAAUACCGGAUAUGACCUCCUAUCGCAUGGUGGGUGGUGGAAAGAUUUAUCGGUGCAGGAUGGGCCCGCGGCCUAUCAGCUUGUUGGUGGGGUAAUGGCCUACCAAGGCGACGACGGGUAGCCGACCUGAGAGGGUGACCGGCCACACUGGGACUGAGACACGGCCCAGACGCCUACGGGAGGCAGCAGUGGGGAAUAUUGCACAAUGGGCGAAAGCCUGAUGCAGCGACGCCGCGUGAGGGAUGACGGCCUUCGGGUUGUAAACCUCUUUCAGCAGGGACGAAGCGAAAGUGACGGUACCUGCAGAAGAAGCACCGGCUAACUACGUG
rnacentral:rRNA from 1 species